rnacentral:rRNA from 1 species
UCCAGACUCCUACGGGAGGCAGCAGUGGGGGAUAUUGCACAAUGGGGGGAACCCUGAUGCAGCGACGCCGCGUGAGUGAAGAAGUAUCUCGGUACGUAAAGCUCUAUCAGCAGGGAAGAAAAUGACGGUACCUGACCAAGAAGCCCCGGCUAACUACGUGCCAGCAGCCGCGGUAAUACGUAGGGGGCAAGCGUUAUCCGGAUUUACUGGGUGUAAAGGGAGCGUAGACGGCAGAGCAAGUCUGAAGUGAAAGCCCGCGGCCCAACUGCGGGACUGCUUUGGAAACUGCCCGGCUAGAGUGCUGGAGAGGUAAGCGGAAUUCCUAGUGUAGCGGUGAAAUGCGUAGAUAUUAGGAGGAACACCAGUGGCGAAGGCGGCUUACUGGACAGUAACUGACGUUGAGGCUCGAAAGCGUGGGGAGCAAACAGGAUUAGAUACCCUUGUA